rnacentral:tRNA from 1 species
GGUAGGGUGGCCGAGAGUAGGCAGUGGGUUGUAGCCCCAAAGACAGAGGUUUAAGUCCUUUUCCUAUCG